CAGUCGCCGCGGUAAAACGUAGGGGGCAAGCGUUGUCCGGAAUCAUUGGGCGUAAAGAGCGUGUAGGCGGCUCGGUAAGUCCGCUGUGAAAGUUCAGGGCUCAACCCUGAAAUGCCGGUGGAAACUGUCGAGCUAGAGUCCGGAAGAGGCGAGUGGAACUCCUGGUGUAGCGGUGAAAUGCGCAGAUAUCAGGAAGAACACCAAUGGCGAAGGCAGCUCGCUGGGACGGUACUGACGCUGAGACGCGAAAGCGUGGGGAGCAAACAGGAUUAGAUACCCCGGUAGUCCCUGUCUCUUAUAU
rnacentral:rRNA from 1 species